UUCGGAAUAUUCGGCAAUGGGCGAAAGCCUGACCGAGCGACGCCGCGUGCGGGAUGAAGGCCUUUGGGUUGUAAACCGCUGUCACAGGUUACCAAGUUAUUCUGGUCUAACAAACCGGGAUAUUGAGUUAAGCUUGAGAGGAAGCCCCCGCUAAUCACGUGCCAGCAGCGGCGGUAAUACGUGAGGGGCAAACGUUGUUCGGUGUCACUGGGCUUAAAGGGCGCGUAGGCGGCUAUGCAAGUAAGGUGUGAAAGCCCCCGGCUUACCCGGGGAACGGCGCCUUAUACUGCAUGGCUUGAGGACCAGAGGGGUAGGAGGAACUCCAGGUGUAGCGGUGAAAUGCGUAGAUAUCUGGGGGAAGGCCGGUGGCGAAGGCGUCCUACUGGCUGGUUUCUGACGCUGAGGCGCGAAAGCGUGGGGAGCAAACAGGAUUAGAUACCCGCGUAGUCC
rnacentral:rRNA from 1 species